CUGGGUUGGAAAAGGUUGGAAGGCAAAGAAAAGUGCAGAAACAGCUUGGGAAGACAUCUGUGUACGGUUGUUUCUGGCACAGGAGAGGCUGGAUAAUGGAGGAAAUUGUGUAUAAUUGAAAAGAAGAGGACAUGAUGAUCAGUAUAUGGAAGCAACAACAAAGAAGGAUAAUGGAAAGGAAAUUGAUGAAAAUGUAUACCAACGAAGCAUCUAUAUAAAUUGACACUUGUUGAAAUCUCAGGCAAUCAAAGAACAUUAUGGAUAUAGAAGUGGCUGAAGCUAAGUUUGUUUCAUCAUUAUGGAUUUUUUAAAGUUUUACUGACAUUCAGAUCAAUUGG